GCCCAAGACCGAGCAAGACUGAAGCACCAACAGAAAUUAGAAAAUGCACGACGACGACAGCAAUUGAAUGAGGAAGGUCAAGCAGAUGCAGACCUUGACAUGCCUCAAAUUCCUCCACCACCACCCCAGGUUGAUAUGGACAAUCAGGUUUUGAGGUAGAUUUUCACCACCACCACGGGGAUCAGCCGAGAUGUGCAGAGUCUCCAGCAGGCUAUGGGAACUUUGACGACUGAGAUGCAUACAGCCCACCGUGACGUCCGCAUUGCCACUGAUAUGUCACGUGCCGCUCGCCAGGAUGCCCAGACAGCUAGGAGGGAGAUGGACACUAUGAAUGGUCGACUAAGUGUGUACGUGGGCAGGGUGGAUGGCAUCCAGCUGAGGGUAAAUGAAACUUGGGAGCGUUUAGGCCGUUUGGAG
rnacentral:lncRNA from 1 species